GAGCAACCGGCUCAUAACCGGUUGGUCCGGGGUUCGAGUCCCUGAAGGCCCACCA
rnacentral:tRNA from 1 species